rnacentral:lncRNA from 1 species
AAUUAUUAGCAUUUUUAUUCAUUGUGUUACAUGGAUGUUAGAAAAAUAGUCUGUAUUCAUUCAGAGACUCCAUUUAGUCUGACUAGACAAUAAUAUAGUCCUGCAAUAAGGACAUAAUGUCUCUUUUCAUCUUUUAUCUUCCCAGGGUUGACAAUUUUCAGUUUUCUAUUUUAUUUUUCUAAGAAAAAUACUACUAUUUUUUUUUUUUUUUGUGUGUGUGUGUUUAAAUAUAGCUCAAUUGUAAUUGUCCAUUGAGGCAUAUAGGAAUUACAUUCUGAAGUCACAUUUCUGAAAGACAUUUCUCCUCUUACAACCAUUUUUAUAAAAAAAAAAAUAUUGACCCCCCGACAUUUCUUAUUUAUAGCAGGUACUUUACACACAACAGAGCAGAUAUUUUUUAGUCAUUGUCUCUUUUUUUGAAUAAUAUUUCUUCACUGUACAAAAUGCAUUACUUACCUUCUAAGCAAAUAACAAAAACUAGUCAGAACUGUGAAAUAAUGAAUCUGACAAUAUAGAGAAUUCUUAACUAACAUAAUGAUGCAAGUUGUUGAAUUUGAUCUAUAAAUCAUUUGAGAAUCAAUUUUUAUUCCCUGUAGACUGAAAGAGUGGAGAAAGGAUGCUUCUGAUAAGGCAGAGUGUUUUUCCAUCACUGUCUAGCAAUUAAAAACCUUUCUAUUUUAAACUCAAAAUUCUGUAUGGUUGGGAAGCUCCACGCCAUGCCAGGAUAGAAUUGCCUUAGCAUUUCUGCUAUUGAGUUUAGGUCUCCACUUUUAAGGUAUACACGUGCAUGUACUUCAUUAUCACUGACAACAACAAGAACACACAGCCCAAGUAGAUUUCAGUAUCAGUUUGGCAACACAGGGAAAAGCCAAGGUUGAUUUUUACAUGUGCUGUGAUCGUUUUACUACACAUUUUUCAUUUGGGUUAGAUUUUGUGGAUUAAGUUUUGUUCCCAACCUCCUGUCUUCUCAUUUCUAUAGCAGCUCUUUCACUCCUUAGGUACUUUUCUACUCAACAUAACAAAUCAGGUCUCCUUUUAAAAAAUGCUUCCUGAUCUCUGCCCCCCUUCCCUGCCUCCCCCGAAAAGUUUCUUUCACACUGAUGGCUUUCAGAAAAAUACUUACAGAAGCACACUCUUUGACUUUACUAUGAGGGUUUUCUAUCAACAGGACUAUACAUCCUAUUGAUGGACUAAUGCUGUGUGCUGGAAGUCUGGAAAACAGGACUACUUGUAUCAUAGGGUUAAUGGGAUGAUAGUGAAUUCAUAUAGAUAAAAAUACUUUAUAUUUGUUGGAUUCAGUUUUGAUCCAGGGAUAUUCUUUGGUUAUGCAGAACAGGAUCUGAAUGAUUUAAAAGGACAAAAUGUUUUUUGACUUCUCAGGUCAUCUGAAGAUAAGAUGUAAUUAAAGGAGGUAAAGAAGUAAAAGAAGGAAUGGGAUUAGUAAAGGCAGUUAUAGAAGAGUAUAUAGUUUAUAGAAGUAAUUACUGACUUUGAUAUGAAAACUGCUUCCUCUUUUAUAUGGGAUAUAACAGGGUAGCUGAAGGGCUAAAUUUAGUUUCUGCUGUUAGUUUUGAGGAAGAUAGAAGUUAAGUUCCUGCUCAACUAGUUGUUAAAGUGACCUCUGUCAAGUCUCCCAACCUUUUUUAAUCUCUGCCUGCAACAGAGUAAGAAUAAAAAUACUGUUGCUAUCAAUAUUGAAAUAAUUUUAUGUGAAGAUACUUUGUAAAUGGUAAACCUCUAGCUAAAUAUAUGGUGAUGACAAUAUUCCCGACCUCACUCUUCAAAGCCACCUAUGCAUUUCGUUCUGGGCUUAUGUUUUCAUGUUUCGGUUGGCAUGUAGACUCAGUUAAUGACCCAUUAGUACUCAAACCAAGUUUAAGUAUUUUUCUGGGCUUGCUCCCUUCAGAUGGUAAAUGCUGCUGGUUGGUCUAGUUUAUUGCAAAAUCUUAGAAGAAGACAGCAUACACAAUGAGAAGUUUGAUUUUCUGCUGGUUCAUUGGAGGAUGAAUGGUGGCUGAGAGGCAGCACAGAGGAACAAGUGGUGCUAGGGGUUCUUUCAUGCUUUCUGUCUUUGUCUAACUAAUCUGUUUCAUUGCCUUCAUGUGCCACAAUCACAGACCUCCUCAUAAUUUUGAGUAUUGUAUGAAGAGAAGAGAAAGGUUGUUUUACAAAUAGAUAAAUUAUGGAUGAAAUUUCAGUUAUAGUAUUAAAGGUGUAGUAAAUCUAAUCACCUACUUAGUUCUUACACAGUAGCUUAAAGUAAGA